CUACUAUUGAAGCUGAAACUCAAGAAGUAUAAUGCUGAAUUCCCAAAUUCAAGCAUUUCUGUAUCUUCUUACACUCAUAUUGCGGAUCUUAUGGAUGAAUUUAACAAAGUUGGAGAGACAAGUGAAUAUGUUGCGGAUAAGGAUUCUCAGUAUGUAAUAGUUGAUGAAGAGUUGACUGAGGGCAGUGUUGUCCCCGAGUCAGUACCAUGUGUUACUAAUGCCAGUAUUGAUUUUGAGUCUGUGACAUGUUUCUGAGCCCAAU